rnacentral:rRNA from 1 species
AUACUGGGCGUAAGGGUCGCGUAGGCGGUUUUGUAAGUCAGAUGUGAAAUCCCGGGGCUCAACCCCGGAAGUGCAUUUGAUACUGCAGGCUUGAGUAUGGGAGGAGGUGUAGUGGAAUUCCUGGUGUAGAGGUGAAAUGCGUAGAUAUUGGGAGGAACACCGGUGGCGAAGGCGACUUCCUGGACCAAUACUGACGCUGAGGCGCGAAGGCGUGGGGAGCAAACGGGAUUAGAUACCCUGGUAGUCCACGCCGUAAACGAUGAAAACUAGGUGUAGGGGGUAUUGACCCCUGCUGUGCCACAUCUAACGCAUUAAGUGACCCGCCGGGGGAGUACGCCCGCAAGGUUAAAACUAAAGGGAAUUGACGG